CAGGCUCUGGUUUACUCACUGGAUGCAAAAUGAAGGUGUGGGGCUGCUUCCGAGGUUUUCAGUCUGAAUCACCGGGACAGCUAAUGAGAUGAAGAUGGACAAGUUGAAGAAACGUCACAGGAGCCCAAGAGGCUGGCCAGAGAGCCCAGGACUCAGUUCCUCUGUGGGAAGGCACACACACUCUGUAAGUUAUAGCUCUGGGUCCCAGUCUGUCUCACUGGGUAUGGGCCUUCCAAAUCCCCAUCUUUCAAGGGUUCCUUCCUCCAAAAUCUGUCCUCAUCUCCCCAGCCACAAUCACCUGCUUUUUCCUCUACAACCUUGUUAGCCAGCCAUUUGAAUGUCCAUCUCCUGCACUAGACAGAAGUAGGGGCUGUUCCACCUUUGUUCUCCGGAGUGCCUG
rnacentral:lncRNA from 1 species